rnacentral:rRNA from 1 species
UGCGUAGGUGGCGCCGUAAGUCAGGUGUGAAAUUUCGGAGCUUAACUCCGAAACUGCAUUUGAUACUGCGGUGCUCGAGGACUGGAGAGGAGACUGGAAUUCACGGUGUAGCAGUGGAAUGCGUAGAUAUCGUGAGGAAGACCAGUGGCGAGGGCGGGUCUCUGGACAGUUCCUGACACUGAGGCACGAAGGCCAGGGGAGCAAACGG